UAGGGAAUAUUGGGCAAUGGAUGCAAGUCUGACCCAGCCAUUCCGCGUGCCGGAUGAAGGCCCUCAGGGUCGUAAACGGCUUUUGAAUGGGAAGAAUAGUUACCAUGCGUGGUAAUGUGACGGUACCAUUCGAAUAAGCACCGGCUAACUCCGUGCCAGCAGCCGCGGUAAUACGGAGGGUGCAAGCGUUGUCCGGAUUUAUUGGGUUUAAAGGGUGCGUAGGUGGUUUUAUAAGUCAGUGGUGAAAUCCGGUCGCUUAACGAUCGAUGUGCCAUUGAUACUGUAGGACUUGGAUAUGUUGGAGGUUGCCGGAAUGGGUGGUGUAGCGGUGAAAUGCAUAGAGAUCACCCAGAACGCCAAUUGCGAAGGCAGGUGACUACGACAUUAUCGACACUGAGGCACGAAAGCAUGGGUAGCGAACAGG
rnacentral:rRNA from 2 species